rnacentral:rRNA from 2 species
AACGUAGGAGGCAAGCGUUAUCCGGAGUAACUGGGCGUAAAGGGCGGGUAGGUGGUUGUGUAAGUUGGUUAUGAAAGCUCCUGGCUAAACUGGGAGAGGUUGACCAAGACUGCAGAACUUGAGUGGAGAAGAGGUAAACGGAAUUCCGCGUGUAGUGGUGAAAUGCGUAGAGAUGCGGAAGAACACCAGUGGCGAAGGCGGUUUACUGGUCUCCAACUGACACUGAGCCGCGAAAGCAUGGGUAGCGAACGGG